AGGCCGCUCCCUGCGCGCGGUUGGUGCGGCUCCGCCGGCCCAGAGUGACGUCAGCGACGCGGCUCCGCUCCACCACAAUCAAAGUUGUCGCUAACACGCCGGGAAAAGGGAAGAGCCGGUCCUCUCGCUCCGGCCCCGGGAGACCGCGACCCGCAGGCGUGAGGCGGCGUGAGCCGCGGCUUCAGGGUUGUCUACAUACCCCGCUGCGCGCCGUCGUUUUGUGCCUGCGGGAAAAGUUCGCGCCGUGCGCGCCUCCCGCCCGCGGCAACGGGGCAUGGCCGCAGCGGUCGCGUUCCCGGGACGGAUCUCGGCCGGGAGGAACGGCCGCAGCCUGCGGUCGCCGCUUCACUGCAGUGAGAAUUGAAAAUUGCAAGCCUGCUAUGCGUUCCCUUCCUAUGUCUUCCUGCGAAGUACAGCUUCUGGUCAAGACUUCCUCUGACUACUUUAGGAAGCAAAAGCAUUGAUAGUAGUCAUAAGCUCAAAUAAUGAGAAGUUUAAGAAGUGCUAAAUGAAUGCAUUAAAAAGAUACCAUUCAAAAUAGAGAAGACUACUUCACAGAAAUUAAUGAAAGAGUGCCAGUAUAUAGAGAAGACAAGCUAACAGAAGCAUUUUGAUCAGUGUAUUGAGUUGAAUUCUGUGCUUCAUAAAGCUUUACACGUCCUCCUGGCUUAGAGCAGUUGAAAGAAGCAAACUUUAAACAACAAACAUAAAAUAACUAUCCAUCUCUCUGGAACAUUUUCUAACAAAUCUUAAAUACUUCUUCAAUUUUUAAGAGUCC
ensembl:lncRNA